GAUGAACGCUGGCGGCGUGCCUAAUACAUGCAAGUCGAGCGAACAGACGAGGAGCUUGCUCCUCUGACGUUAGCGGCGGACGGGUGAGUAACACGUGGAUAACCUACCUAUAAGACUGGGAUAACUUCGGGAAACCGGAGCUAAUACCGGAUAAUAUAUUGAACCGCAUGGUUCAAUAGUGAAAGACGGUUUUGCUGUCACUUAUAGAUGGAUCCGCGCCGCAUUAGCUAGUUGGUAAGGUAACGGCUUACCAAGGCAACGAUGCGUAGCCGACCUGAGAGGGUGAUCGGCCACACUGGAACUGAGACACGGUCCAGACUCCUACGGGAGGCAGCAGUAGGGAAUCUUCCGCAAUGGGCGAAAGCCUGACGGAGCAACGCCGCGUGAGUGAUGAAGGUCUUCGGAUCGUAAAACUCUGUUAUUAGGGAAGAACAAAUGUGUAAGUAACUAUGCACGUCUUGACGGUACCUAAGCAGAAAGCCACGGCUAACACGUG
rnacentral:rRNA from 1 species